GGUCCCGUAGUGGAGCGGUUUAACACGCCUCCCUGUCACGGAGGAGAUCGCCGGUUCAAAUCCGGUCGGGAUCG
rnacentral:tRNA from 2 species